AUGGAUGUGCCUCUGCCUUCACAGUCCAACCGUGCUGGAUGCAAUGGAAGCGUCGGCAGCCCGUCGGAUGAUCCAUAUGGCGUUACGGCCAUGAUGAACUUUGAUGGGUACUCAGAGCUCUGCGGCAGCCCUUCGUUAGCUGACCAGCUGUUCUCGUUGCUGAACGACUCGUCAACACACCAGAUGUUUGCUAUGUGGUCAUCCUUGGGCUCUUCGCCACGUGCUUCUGGUGUCAGUGAAGAUAUGCAGCUCGAUGCCUAUUCCAGUGUACCUGGGGAUCAAAAGGUUGAUUUGGUAUCUUCGGUGAAUCCAGCUGAAAAUGGGACCGGGAGAAUGGCCAAGAGUUCAGGCGACCUUGGCUCAGAUGGUGAUCCCGAGCAAGGAAGUACUAGCGUGGUUCCGAGGCCUAUUGCCGGCAACUUACUCGCUGACAGGAUGCUCAUGGCUCUGUCUUUGUUCAGGAAGUCACUUGGCGGCGGUGUUCUUGCGCAGGUUUGGAUGCCUGUUGAGCAGGAGGGGCAUGUCGUGCUUAGUACAUGUGAACAGCCGUUUCUGCUUGACCAAGCUCUUGCUGGGUACAGAGAAGUAUCCAGGCAUUUUGUGUUCUCUGCUAAGGAGGAGACCUGCCUUCAACCAGGGCUUCCAGGGAGGGUCUUCAUCUCCGGUGUGCCAGAAUGGACCUCAAAUGUGCUCUACUACAGCAAGCCAGAGUAUUUGAGGAUGGAGUAUGCUCUUCACCAUGAAGUUCGAGGAUCACUUGCAAUGCCGAUAUAUGACCCUAGCAAGGGCUCUUGCUGUGCAGUGCUUGAGCUUAUCACAAAGAAGGAGAAACCUGACUUCGAUGCAGAAAUGAACAACCUUCGCCAUGCAUUGCAGGCUGUGAACUUGGAGACAGCAAAAGAUUGUAUCGAUCAGAAGGUUUAUUCAGCAAAUCAGAAAGCCACCUUCACUGAGAUUUUGGAUGUUCUAAGAGCUAUUUGCCAUGCACACAUGCUUCCUUUGGCCCUUACAUGGGUCCCUUCAUCAAAUGGCAGUGAUGGUGGUUAUGUUGGACAUGAUAAUGUCCUUGAUUCUCAGUCAGGAAAAGCGAUACUCCGCAUCCAUGAAUCAGCGUGUUAUGUUAAUGAUGCAAAGAUGCAAGGUUUUUUUCAUGCAUGCACUGAAACUCACCUUGAGAAAGGGCAAGGUAUUGCAGGCCGAGCACUCAAGUCCAAUCUGCCGUUCUUCUCUCCUAAUAUAAGAGAAUACGGAAUUAAGGAUUACCCACUCGCACACCAUGCUCGUAAGUUUGGUCUGCAUGCUGCUGUAGCAAUCCGGCUAAGGAGCACAUACACUGGUGAUGAUGACUACAUACUAGAAUUCUUUCUACCAAUCAACUGCACAGGCAGUGAAGAACAACAGAUGUUAUUGAAUAACCUGUCCAGUACUAUGCAAAGAAUAUGCAAAAGUUUGCGAACAGUUUCUGAAGCAGAGGUUGAUAAAGUUGACGCUUGUACUGCAGUAAUGUAUAAGGCAACCAGUGGAAGUUGCUUGCCUACUGGUCAGUCUGGGAGUUCUUCACAUGGUGAUCAACCUGCCACAGAAGAGGCAUUCCAGGAUCUAUCUUUAAUUGAUAAGCAAGGGGACAUGUCCGAGCAGGCACAGUCUAGUUCAAUGCGACUUGCGGAGAAAAAGCGCAGUACAGCGGAGAAGAAUAUUGGCAUGGAUGUUCUCCGUAAGUACUUUUCUGGGAGCCUAAAGGAUGCUGCAAAGAGCCUCGGUGUUUGUCCAACAACCUUGAAACGGAUAUGCCGCACACAUGGAAUUUCGCGAUGGCCAUCUCGCAAGAUAAACAAGGUCAACCGUUCGUUAAAGAAGAUCCAAACUGUCAUUAACUCGGUCCAUGGAGUGGACAGCUCUUUGCAGUAUGAUCCAGCUACUGGAUCUCUUGUUCCAGCAGUUUCUCUGCCAGAGAAGACGUCAUUCCCUUCAUGUGAUGCUGUGUCUAGUCCAUCUGUUGGGAAAACUGUGGAUGAAAAAUCUGGCCCAAAAUCUGAGCAAGGGUAUUCGUCACCUGAAGGAUGGGAAAGAGAUAGCUGUCAGUUGCAGCGCCCUGAUGCGCAGAAAGGGGAAGGCGAUGAAUUUCACAUGCAGACAACUAACUAUAGUGGCAGUGGUGAUCACGGCUCUUAUGGUCCGAAUGUCACACAUCAUAUUAUUUCUGAAGGAACACAAGGACCAUUAUAUCCCACUGGUGCUGUUAGUGCUUUACAUGACAAAGAAACAGGUUGCAUCGAACCUUUGCCCUGUGUCCUCCCAAGCAUCAAGACUACCAGGGACCAAAUAGUGGGAAGGAACUCACCACCCAUGCAACAAGCAGAUAUUGAUAUGUUUGAUGAUCGCGAAGGCAGGGAGCAUACUCAUCCUUCUACCUCUGGUAUGACAGACUCUUCUAGCGGCAGUGCAUCAAGCCACCCUACAUUCAAGAAGAACCCAGCACGCCCACUUAAGGACAAGAGCAGCCCUGCACUUACGGUCAAGGCGACGUACAAUGGAGACACCGUGCGGUUCAAGUUCUUGCCAUCGAUGGGCUGGUACCACCUGCUGGAAGAAAUAGCCAAGAGGUUCAAGCUGUCGACCGGGGUGUUCCAGCUCAAGUACAAGGAUGACGAGGACGAGUGGGUCAUCAUGGCGAACGACUCCGAUCUCCAGGAGUGUGUCGACGUCAUGGACUCGAUGGGCACGCGAAACGUGAAGCUCCAGGUCCGGGAUCUCCCGUGCCUCAUCAGCAGCUCGGGCAGCAGCAGCUGCUUGCAGCUGGAAGGACACAAUUCAUGA
rnacentral:rRNA from 1 species